AAAAAAGGUAAGCUACUAAGAGCGAAUGGUGGAUGCCUUGACUGGUAAAGGCGAUGAAGGACGUACUAGACUGCGAUAAGCUACGGGGAGCUGUCAAGAAGCUUUGAUCCGUAGAUUUCCGAAUGGGGCAACCCAAUGUAUAGAGAUAUACAUUACCUAUAUAGGAGCGAACGAGGGGAAUUGAAACAUCUUAGUACCCUCAGGAAAAGAAAUCAAUAGAGAUUGCGUCAGUAGCGGCGAGCGAAAGCGCAAGAGGGCAAACCCAGUGCUUGCACUGGGGGUUGUAGGACUGCAAUGUGCAAGAGGUGAGUUUAGCAGAACAUUCUGGAAAGUAUAGCCAUAGAGGGUGAUAGUCCCGUAUGCGAAAAACAAACCUUAGCUAGCAGUAUCCUGAGUAGGGCGGGACACGAGAAAUCCUGUCUGAAGCUGGGUCGACCACGAUCCAACCCUAAAUACUAAUACCAGAUCGAUAGUGCACAAGUACCGUGAGGGAAAGGUGAAAAGAACUGAGGUGAUCAGAGUGAAAUAGAACCUGAAACCAUUUGCUUACAAUCAUUCAGAGCCCUAUGUAGCAAUACAGGGUGAUGGACUGCCUUUUGCAUAAUGAGCCUGCGAGUUGUGGUGUCUGGCAAGGUUAAGCAAACGCGAAGCCGUAGCGAAAGCGAGUCUGAAUAGGGCGCUUAGUCAGAUGCUGCAGACCCGAAACGAAGUGAUCUAUCCAUGAGCAAGUUGAAGCUAGUGUAAGAACUAGUGGAGGACUGAACCCAUAGGCGUUGAAAAGCCCCGGGAUGACUUGUGGAUAGGGGUGAAAGGCCAAUCAAACUUCGUGAUAGCUGGUUCUCUCCGAAAUAUAUUUAGGUAUAGCGUUGUGUCGUAAUAUAAGGGGGUAGAGCACUGAAUGGGCUAGGGCAUACACCAAUGUACCAAACCCUAUCAAACUCCGAAUACCUUAUAUGUAAUCACAGCAGUCAGGCGGCGAGUGAUAAAAUCCGUCGUCAAGAGGGAAACAACCCAGACUACCAGCUAAGGUCCCUAAAUCUUACUUAAGUGGAAAACGAUGUGAAGUUACUUAAACAACCAGGAGGUUGGCUUAGAAGCAGCCAUCCUUUAAAGAAAGCGUAAUAGCUCACUGGUCUAGUGAUUUUGCGCGGAAAAUAUAACGGGGCUAAAGUAAGUACCGAAGCUGUAGACUUGCGCACAACUUAGAUUAUUUAAGUUUAGAAUAUGAGAAACUAAGUUAUAUGUUUAGUUAUAUUUUUACUGAUUUUUAUAGAGUAAAGAUAGAAAUAAAACUUAGUAAAAUCAGUAAAAAUAUUCUUAGACUAAAGUUAAGUAGUUUAAGUUGUGUGCAAGUGGUAGGAGAGCGUUCUAUUUGCGUCGAAGGUAUACCGGUAAGGAGUGCUGGAGCGAAUAGAAGUGAGCAUGCAGGCAUGAGUAGCGAUAAUUAAUGUGAGAAUCAUUAACGCCGUAAACCCAAGGUUUCCUACGCGAUGCUCGUCAUCGUAGGGUUAGUCGGGUCCUAAGUCGAGUCCGAAAGGGGUAGACGAUGGCAAAUUGGUUAAUAUUCCAAUACCAACAUUAGUGUGCGAUGGAAGGACGCUUAGGGCUAAGGGGGCUAGCGGAUGGAAGUGCUAGUCUAAGGUCGUAGGAGGUUAUACAGGCAAAUCCGUAUAACAAUACUCCGAGAACUGAAAGGCUUUUUGAAGUCUUCGGAUGGAUAGAAGAACCCCUGAUGCCGUCGAGCCAAGAAAAGUUUCUAAGUUUAGCUAAUGUUGCCCGUACCGUAAACCGACACAGGUGGGUGGGAUGAGUAUUCUAAGGCGCGUGGAAGAACUCUCUUUAAGGAACUCUGCAAAAUAGCACCGUAUCUUCGGUAUAAGGUGUGGUUCGCUUCGUAUUAGGAUUUACUCCGAAAGCGAAGAAACUUACAACAAAGAGUCCCUCCCGACUGUUUACCAAAAACACAGCACUCUGCUAACUCGUAAGAGGAUGUAUAGGGUGUGACGCCUGCCCGGUGCUCGAAGGUUAAUUGAUGGGGUUAGCAUUAGCGAAGCUCUUGAUCGAAGCCCGAGUAAACGGCGGCCGUAACUAUAACGGUCCUAAGGUAGCGAAAUUCCUUGUCGGUUAAAUACCGACCUGCAUGAAUGGCGUAACGAGAUGGGAGCUGUCUCAAAGAGGGAUCCAGUGAAAUUGUAGUGGAGGUGAAAAUUCCUCCUACCCGCGGCAAGACGGAAAGACCCCGUGGACCUUUACUACAGCUUGACACUGCUAUUUGGAUAAGAAUGUGCAGGAUAGGUGGGAGGCUUUGAGUAUAUGACGCCAGUUGUAUAUGAGCCAUUGUUGAGAUACCACUCUUUCUUAUUUGGGUAGCUAACCA
rnacentral:rRNA from 1 species